AUUUCUCAGCACGUGUGCAGGGAAUUCUGAGAGAAUGACUAACAUUAAUAAAAAAAUAAUCAAUUAUUCAUGAUGGGAAGGAAUAACUACUGGGCAACUGAAGUAUUAAAAAGUCAUUCUGAUCUAAGGGUGAAAUUUCGCAAGGCCAAACAGAAAGCAGCUGCUACAGAAUGAAGAAGGCACAUGGAGCUGCAGACUUUGACACUGUGAUCCAUGUAAGAGAGACUUCGAUAAAAACUCAACAUUCUUUUGAGACAAGAGACUGGUCACAUCUUAAAACCAACGACCACAUCACAUGUGGAACAGAAUUUAAAAUACUUAUAAGAACAUCUGCUUUAAACAAGACUGUAUUUCAGCAUUUCCUCCUUAUCCUCUUGGAAUCUUUACAAAAGCAUAAGAAUGUAUUUUUGAAUUUUUGAAGAACUCAGAAGUCUCAUUUUUAGAGAAUCUUGGAGAUAAAUAUAAUCCCAAACUCAAAAAUACAUAUUGGGGCUGCCAAAAGCAGCUGAGGCUGAGCAGAAGUUAUCUGGAGAGAAGUGAAGACAAGAAGCACAGCAAAUGAUGAGGACUCUCCUUGACACAGCUCAAAGAACUACAAGAAAAAAAAAUCUACAGUUCAAAUGCUCAUUCUGAAGUCAAAAGCAGUAACAGAUAGAGGUACUGGUUUGAUGCAAAGAAGCAAAGGACAUAUAGUUACACAAAGAAUUGCAAAGAUGGGCCAUAUUUUGGGGGACCAGCCUGUCUCUAUAGCAACAAAUAGUUUCCCAAUCAUGAGCACACAGCUGCCUGGAAUAAAGAAGUCAUAUUGCACGGCCACAUGAAUAAGUGUUGACUAACAAGAUAUAAGCUGAACUGCCUGGAAAUUUGAAAAGAUGACUCAAAAGUUCCUCUUGUCCCCUUUCUCUCCUGCUUCCUCCUCUUUAAGAUUCUGAUGUAAUGCCAAAGUGAUUGAGUAGAUAAGAAGAGCUUCAUAAGAAAUAAAUAAGCUUUACUCCUGUUUAAA